CGAACGGGUGAGUAACGCGUGAGGAACCUGCCUCAAAGAGGGGGACAACAGUUGGAAACGACUGCUAAUACCGCAUAAGCCCACGGCUCGGCAUCGAGCAGAGGGAAAAGGAGCAAUCCGCUUUGAGAUGGCCUCGCGUCCGAUUAGCUAGUUGGUGAGGUAACGGCCCACCAAGGCGACGAUCGGUAGCCGGACUGGGAGGUUGAACGGCCACACUGGAACUGAGACACGGUCCAG
rnacentral:rRNA from 1 species